rnacentral:rRNA from 1 species
GGACAACCUACCCUCCGGACGGGUAUAAACCCGGGAAACUGGGUAUAAUCCCCGAUAGAUCUCGGUCGCUGGAAAGCCCCGAGAUCGAAAGCUCCGGCGCCAGAGGAUGGGUCUGCGGCCUAUCAGGUAGUAGUGGGUGUAGCGUACCUACUAGCCUACGACGGGUACGGGUUGUGAGAGCAAGAGCCCGGAGAUGGAUUCUGAGACACGAAUCCAGGCCCUACGGGGUGCAGCAGGCGCGAAAACUUUACAAUGCGGGGAACCGCGAUAAGGGGACACCGAGUGCCAGCAUCCUAUGUUGGCUGUCCAUAUGUCUAAAUCACAUGUGUUAGCAAGGGCCGGGCAAGACCGGUGCCAGCCGCCGCGGUAACACCGGCGGCUCGAGUGGUAACCGUUAUUAUUGGGUCUAAAGGGUCUGUAGCCGGCCGGAUAAGUCUCUUGAGAAAUCCAGCAGCUCAACUGUUGGGCUUUCAGGAGAUACUGUUCGGCUCGAGGCCGGGAGAGGUGAGAGGUACUUCAGGGGUAGGGGUGAAAUCUUGUAAUCCUUGAAGGACCACCAGUGGCGAAGGCGUCUCACCAGAACGGACCUGACGGCAAGGGACGAAAGCUAGGGGCACGAACCGGAUUAGAUACCCGGGUAGUCCUAGCCGUAAACGAUACUCGCUAGGUGUCGGCCACGGUGCGACCGUUGUCGGUGCCGUAGGGAAGCCGUGAAGCGAGCCACCUGGGAAGUACGGUCGCAAGGCUGAAACUUAA